GCUCAGUUGGUUGAGUGUCUGACUCUUGAUUUCAGCUCAGGUCAUGAUCCAGGGUUGUGGGAUCAAGCCCCACAUUGAGCU
rnacentral:tRNA from 1 species